UGCACACGGCCCUCUUUCUGGCAUUACACCAUCUACUGACUGAGUUCCCAGCCACUUGCUUCCAGACUUCCUACAGUUUCCAUCCAUGAUCGUUCCAGGACAGUAUUACGUCUCAUGGAGGACAUCAAGCAGGUGUGAUGCCAUUUGUUGUCAUGAAUGAACUCCUCCUAGGCUCAACUUACAUUCAGAAGGCUUGUUUAUAAAGAAAAUACAAAUUGUGUCUAGAAGACUGAAUUUUGUGGCAUCCUACAAAGUAUCUUAAUGAAAUAAAGUAUCAGAAACACA